GACGAACGCUGGCGGCGUGCCUAAUACAUGCAAGUAGAACGCUGAAGGAGGAGCUUGCUUCUCUGGAUGAGUUGCGAACGGGUGAGUAACGCGUAGGUAACCUGCCUGGUAGCGGGGGAUAACUAUUGGAAACGAUAGCUAAUACCGCAUAAGAGUAGAUGUUGCAUGACAUUUACUUAAAAGGUGCAAUUGCAUCACUACCAGAUGGACCUGCGUUGUAUUAGCUAGUUGGUGAGGUAACGGCUCACCAAGGCAACGAUACAUAGCCGAGCUGAGAGGGUAAUCGGAGACACUGGGACUGAGACACGGGCCAGACUCCUCCAGGGGGCAGCAGAAGGGGAUAUUCGGCAAUGGGCGGAAGUCUGACCGAGCGACGCCGCGUGAGUGAGGAAGGUUUUCGGAUCGUGAAGCUCUGUUGUAAGAGGAGAACGAGUGUGAGAGUGGAAAGUUCACACUGUGGCGGUAUCUUACCAGAAAGGGACGGCUAACUACGUG
rnacentral:rRNA from 1 species